UCGUCCAUCAACACUUUGUACUAAGACUGCUUCCAUUCCAGAUGUCUGAGUUUCUGAGGUGGCUGAUGAGGCCAAUGUGAGAACCACAGGCCUUCCACAGAUGGGGCAGGAGAUGGCUGAAAAGGGAAUUAGAAAGUAUUGCUGUUCUUUUAAGCAUGGAUUGGGGUUCGACAACUUCGCGUGAAGCCGCACUGUCCCAGGAGGAACAUUUUGAAAAGCCCUUGGUUGAACAACGCGAGGGAAUCACUUGCCAAGACUGGCCAGUUUGGCACUAGACAACGCGAAGAGCAAUAAUUGCAAAUUACAUUACCCAACCAACAGAUGUAGACGGUAUCUGUUGGGAAGAGAGAAACAAAGGCUAUCUGAAUAAAACAGAGGGGGAAAAAAGGGCGCAAAAAGAUCAUAACGAAAAUGAGUCAGGGUACCCAAUUACCCAAUCGGAAAACCGAUGCCAUGUAUCCCCAUUCCGAUACAAACACGUUUGAAAUCCAGGUUAUUAGUUCACCCAAAUUAUCCCCACAACAGAAGGAAUAACAGAUAUUGUCAGUUACACCCUAAGCAAACGGUUUUAGUUAAUUACGGAUUCUAUGUUGAUUUGCACUUGUUACAUGCAACAUUCAUAGAAGGUAAUCUAAAUGUGUUGCACACAGCAAUGCGAUAUAUACACCGUCCAUGGCGUUUGCCAACAUCACACCGCAGUUACUUGCAAAGCAUCUGAUCAGACCUAGUGCACCGAAAUGAUUUUCAACUAUUUCACAGAGCGUGGAGAGAUAAACGCACCAGCCUCCCCUGGAAAGUGAAAGCUGAGCAAUUUUAGCCACCCACGGCGAUGCACCUUGCUUCCACGUUUAUUCCAUCUCGCAAUUGUUAGGAGGCAAUGUUGCAAGACAAUAGUUCGUUUCGUGCGUUUAAUGUCAAUCCAUGUUGAAAUUGCCGUGGCCAUCACAUAAAAAAUAACAAUAGCAGGCCAGAGAUAUCUGAAGUGCUCCAAUAGUAUGGACAUUCGUUUUAUUGCAUGCUCGUUUUUCUGGGAAGUAACGGAGGUAAUAAGAUGGGUUUCUUCCAGUGGGUUGUUUUGUUCGAGAUUCAAGUUGACACAACAGUGCACGAUCUAACAGGGAAUAGAAUUUCAGUUUGAUUGUCAUACUGCAGAGGUACUGCGUUGAAAUGCAAUUUAACAUCUAAAACAAUCCUGUCUCGGAAGCACAAAACUAAUCUUAGCCACCCAGCAGCCCGCGCGUUUUCCUCCACUUGAAGAAAGCGCAGACUUUUACUUUCCCUGAUGUGGGGAAUUUGAGACUUUUAAUCCUGAUAUUUUAUGUCUAUAUAAAGGCUGACUUUUUAAUUUCACUUAUUAUAAUCAAAUUUAAAACGAUGGAUUGAAAGCAUUUGUUAUGUGAAGGCACUAGAUUUCGUUUCGAAACGUUUAUAUUGGGCAGUUAGACGACAAAUGAUAUGUGCAGAUCGAAUUAUUGUUAGUAGUCAAAAUGAAAGAAACACCGUUCUGCCUGACCAGAAAGAUGACAACGCCUGUCAAAUUUCAAAUUGAUUAAGUAUCCGGUGUUAACAUUUUGUUCCUUAUUUUCAAUGAAAGCUUUGACUUAGGUGAGUGUCCAUUAGCGAAAAAUUUCAUUGAAUUUUCACGAAGUUCUUAGGUUAACCCCAGCAUUGCAUCUUAAUACUGCAAGCAAAAAUUGGGAAGCAUUAAAGUCUCAGAACUAACAGUUCAUGGAAAGGGAGGAGGGGUUUGUUUGUUAAUACUGAGACUUUAUAUUUCAUAUGUAUAUGCUAUAGACAUUUCUAAGCGUAGUGCAAAGAUUUGUGAAGGAUUAAUCCGGUGAUCCCUUUUCUUCUCUGGGCGUUUUAUGCUUGGCGCUGUAUUUAUUUACAGUUAAAACUCAUUGGAUGCUCUCCAGUCUGAACUGGAGAAAGAUAUAUGCAGUUUGAGAUUUUCUUUUACUCACACAGAAUACAUUAUGUAUCACAUUUCAC